AAAUAUUUAUAAUUGGUAAAGAACUAAAAUAACAAUAUUAUGAAGCAGAAGGGCAAGCGCACGGCGAGGCGGCGCCGUGGGAGCCUCCGGUAGGUUUUCUUUUUGUCCGUGAGCUUUUUAGCGCAAAAAGCUCUGCGGCGUCGCAGCGCAGUGACUGGCGCUGGCGCAGUGCGCGCGCGCCUUUCGACCGCGCGGUCGUAUGUAAUGCCCGCGCGCCGCCCGCCGUGCCUUGCCCGCCGCCCGCCGCCCGCCGCCCGCCGCCCAGUGCAGUGUCGUGCAGUGCAGUGCUGUGACAGUGCCCAUGGCUACAUCCCAGUGAUUGGCAAGCGGGAGAUAACUCAUAGUGCGUCGACCGUCGCCGGCCGCCGGUUCGACGCCCGCCGCCGCUCGUACCAUCACACCGCGCCGCCGACGGUUCAACGGUGGCGUGCCGUAGCGGCAGGCGCAGAAUAAUGCCGACCAGCGACAAAGUAGUGUGCCCCCAUGUCAACCAUGCCUCAGCAUUCUUGAACGUUAAUGCGCCGAAACGUGUAGACGCUCUCCACACGCCUGACGCCAGCAUACGAGAACCGCCGCCGUCUUUGCGUGGUCGCGAAUAAAGCGUUCAACGAAAAUCAAUGUGUAAAACGCAAUGACCGGGUGGAAUAAACUAUAACACGAAUAUCAUAGUGUAAUGAAAAAUGUUCAUCGAGACUAGUGAAGUGUUCAAAGUGCAAAACGAAGUGGAAGUGCUCGCCGGCUGGUGACAGUGUACAGCGAGUGUGCCAGCGGGUACGCCAGCGCCGCGGCGGGAUGAAGCGCAGUAAGUCUUACACGUGGCUGUCGGGCCUGCUGCGUCCGCGCGACCCGCCACGCGACACCCCGCGCGACCCCCAGCAUGACCCGCCGCCGGCCGAGGAGUGGGGUGCGGCGGCCUGGGUGCACGCCGACGCCA